CACCUCCUCUCUUCAUCCUCAUCCGAUCCCCUUCUCCCAUCUCCGCCUGAUCCUUGCCUCGCGAGCGCCUUCUUCUUCCCUAACUCAUCACCGACGUAGAUGUCGAUCAUCGGCACUGAUCGCCGACUGUCGACCUACCCUAACAUUGGCACAGCUCCAUCAUCCUCGACCUUGAGUUAUGCCCUAGCUUUGAUCAAUGUCGUUGAGCCCUAACCUCUCGGUCUGCUCCCGAUCCAUAGCCAUCGGUGGUCGAGCACUACCCGAGCGUCGUUGCUUCUCCAUUUAUUUCUCUCUCGAUCUCACGACGCUGCCCAAUCGUCGUCUGGCUUGUCACACAGCACCUAUUGACCGAUGCCACCGACGCCUCUGUUGUUGCACGUUGCUGGUGGGGCAAAGGUCCGUCGAUCUUCUUCCUCCGGCCGAUUGCCACCUACCUCUACAAUCGAUCACUGCCGAUUUGCCUUGUGCACUAGUUGCCAUCAUCGGAGAGCUUCUGUUCCAAUAUAAGUUUCCUAGCCCGAUCGAGACUGAAGAGUGUCAUCGACAGCAGAUGGCCUUCAGGAUCUCAUUGUGAGUAGAUUGUUGACCUCUCCUGCUCACUGCCAUUGUCGUUGAGCUCGGUUGCCAAGGAUUCAUUGUAGGGAAGGGGGUGAUUGAAGAAGGUUUUGGUGUCAAUGGAUUUAAGCUCCUACUGAGAUAUUGGCAGUCGAUCUUUAUUCAUACAUCAGUGUAGCAGGUAAAGGAUUUUUGGAGUCGCCUGGAUAUCCUGUCCGCCGGCCCCAUGUCACAUCGAGCGACUUCUAUCGUUAUUUCUUCCACUCGCAUUAAUAGUUUUGUACUUGUAUUUGUAUUAUGUACCUUCUAUAUGGUUUUCCAGACUUGUGAUGCCCUUUAUUUCAGUUAUGAACUUCUUGUGUUAAGUCGAGUCGGCUCGCAGGUAAUUGUAUUAUUUUUAUGUUUUGCUUA